UUAGCAAGAACACGUGGAUAAUCUGCCCUAUGGUGGAGGAUAACCCCGGGAAACUGGGGAUAAUACUCCAUAAGUCAGGAGUACUGGAAUGUCUCCUAACUGAAAGUUGCGGCGCCAUAGGAUGAAUCUGCGGCCGAUUAGGUAGUUGUUGGGGUAACGGCCCAACAAGCCCGUAAUCGGUACGGGUUGUGGGAGCAAGAGCCCGGAGAUGGAAUCUGAGACACGAUUCCAGGCCCUACGGGGCGCAGCAGGCGCGAAAACUUUACAAUGCAGGAAACUGUGAUAAGGGAACCCCGAGUGCCCGUAAACGCGGGCUGUCCCGGUGUUUAAAACACAUCGGAAGAAAGGGCCGGGCAAGACCGGUGCCAGCCGCCGCGGUAAUACCGGCGGCUCGAGUGGUGACCACUUUUAUUGGGCUUAAAGCGUUCGUAGCUUGAUUUUUAAGUCUCUUGGGAAAUCUCACGGCUUAACUGUGAGGCGUCUAAGAGAUACUGGGAAUCUAGGGACCGGGAGAGGUAAGAGGUACUUCAGGGUAGAAGUGAAAUUCUGUAAUCCUUGAGGGACCACCGAUGGCGAGGCAUCUUACCAGAACGGCUUCGACAGUGAGGAACGAAAGCUGGGGGGA
rnacentral:rRNA from 1 species